AUUUCUACUGGCUCCUUUGGCACAGCUGGUGGAAAUAAAACUCAUAGUACACCCUGACUCCUGUCUCACCCACCAUGAUUCACCACCACCAUCAUCUCAGAAUGUUGAAAGCAGAACCUCAUUGCCUACAGCUGAACUAUGUGAGCUACACAAAACAUGAAGCUGAAAUUAAAACAACCAGAGGGAGAGAGGACAAAUGGAAAAAGAAGUUGCUGUUCAACUACACAAACUCCGGAGAGACAUGAGACACCCAAUGCUUCUCUCAAUCUUUGAGAGAGGGAGCCACAAUUUAAUGAAAACUAUGGAAAACAGGCUCAAUGAAGAAAAUAUUAAAAUAAUUAUUAAAGGUAAGCAAUUAAUGUCACUUAUUUUAGAAGAGUUCUUCUUUUCUUUUUCAGAUGAUGAUCAGUGGUUCUUAGUCCUGAUUUGGUUAGCAUUAGAGGUUAGUUUUAAAGGGGACUGCAUUGGAUGCCAUAAGUUCAAUGGGUUGGGGGGAAUAGGCACAAUCUUCUCUUAAGGCAGUUUUCAAACUAUGUGUGAUUAUCUCUUCAUCUAUUCCAAAUAAAGAAGAAAUAUGUAGGUGGGUUUUCAUUGAUCAUUUGAUUUUAUACAAUUCAUGGAUGAAGUAUUUGAUGUAAGACAUUAAGAUCCCUACUUUAGUUCGUAUUGCCUCUUUUCCCAUUAUCCUCUGCUGCCUGCUCCCACACUGAAACUCACUGGGUUGAGGGUGGAAGACGAUGAAAAGACAAUGAUGAAACAAACUGAUAAAAGCAAUGGGCAUUGAUAAGGUGGCAAAUGUUUAACAACCUUCUCUGAGGAGAGGGGUGCUUCGAUUUGUAGUAACUGCCAGUUUUCAUGGGUGUAAAUACUCCCAUCAUGACUGAUUUCAAGAAAACAAUACAGCAUCAACUGGAUGAAAAUUCAGGAGAAACAUCAGCUCUCUUGAAGUAGCAUAAGAAGUUCUAGCACACACUGAAUAGGCAUUAGCCAGGUGAUUUAGAAGCUUGCUAGGAACUGCCAGGAGGAAGUAAGCUGUCUGGGGCUGGGAUAGUCAACAGCAGUGGAAGGUAUGAAAAUAUGGUAAAUUAGGGACACAAGGAGUUGCUAUGGUAAAGGACUGGGUUUGUGAUAGGAUGUCAGGGUAGAGAAGAAGCAUGGGGAAAGAGUGUGGAGGGCCGGAUACGUCAUACUAAGCAGUCAGGAAUUUAUCUUGUGAACAGAAAUAACCUGAAACAUGAAGGUGUAUUUUAUUGUAGAGUAAUGGCAAAAAUCAUUUAUUUUAGGAAAAUAACUGAUACUGUAUGAAUCAUAGAUAUAUUCUAAGUCCAAUUUGUGUUAUCUUAAGCAAAAAUUAGAAAGUUAUUUUAACAAUUACAGCUUUAUAACAAUUCAUUGGGCCUAAUGAAACCCAAAGUUUACUUGGGUUUUCAAAAACUACCAAGCCCUGGAAGCUGUCAUGAAUCCAAGACAUGUUUUCCCUCUGUUUCUUUAGUUUUCUCUAUACCUCUAUUUAUUUUUUUCAGAGAGUGGUCUUCUGGACCCAAUUAAAAAUUCCUGAAAAAGAAUCUGGUUUAUUUGUCUCUGAUUUGCCCCUUAUCCUAUCACUUAUCCAUGAUAAAGGUGGUGUCUUAAUCAGUUGUUUUUAUAACAA